ACGUGGGUAACCUGCCUGUAAGACUGGGAUAACUCCUUUGAAACCGGGGCUAAUACCGGAUGGUUGUUUGAACCGCAUGGUUCAAACAUAAAAGGUGGCUUCGGCUACCACUUACAGAUGGACCCGCGGCGCAUUAGCUAGUUGGUGAGGUAACGGCUCACCAAGGCAACGAUGCGUAGCCGACCUGAGAGGGUGAUCGGCCACACUGGGACUGAGACACGGCCCAGACUCCUACGGGAGGCAGCAGUAGGGAAUCUUCCGCAAUGGACGAAAGUCUGACGGAGCAACGCCGCGUGAGUGAUGAAGGUUUUCGGAUCGUAAAGCUCUGUUGUUAGGGAAGAACAUUUACCGUUCGAAUAGGGCGGUACCUUGACGGUACCUAACCAGAAAGCCACGGCUAACUACGUGCCAGCAGCCGCGGUAAUACGUAGGUGGCAAGCGUUGUCCGGAAUUAUUGGGCGUAAAGGGCUCGCAGGCGGUUUCUUAAGUCUGAUGUGAAAGCCCCCGGCUCAACCGGGGAGGGUCAUUGGAAACUGGGGAACUUGAGUGCAGAAGAGGAGAGUGGAAUUCCACGUGUAGCGGUGAAAUGCGUAGAGAUGUGGAGGAACACCAGUGGCGAAGGCGACUCUCUGGUCUGUAACUGACGCUGAGGAGCGAAAGCGUGGGGAGCGAACAGGAUUAGAUACCCUGGUAGUCCACGCCGUAAACGAUGAGUGCUAAGUGUUAGGGGGUUUCCGCCCCUUAGUGCUGCAGCUAACGCAUUAAGCACUCCGCCCGCGGAGUACGGUCGCAAGAC
rnacentral:rRNA from 1 species